AACGAACGCUGGCGGCAGGCCUAACACAUGCAAGUCGAACGAGAAGCCACCUUCGGGUGGUGGACAGUGGCAGACGGGUGAGUAACGCGUGGGAACGUGCCUUUCGGUUCGGAAUAACCCAGGGAAACUUGGGCUAAUACCGGAUACGCCCUUCGGGGGAAAGAUUCAUCGCCGAAAGAUCGGCCCGCGUCGGAUUAGCUAGUUGGUGGGGUAAUGGCUCACCAAGGCGACGAUCCGUAGCUGGUCUGAGAGGAUGACCAGCCACACUGGGACUGAGACGCGGCCCAGACUCCUACGGGGGGCAGCAGUGGGGAAUAUUGGACAAUGGGCGAAAGCCUGAUCCAACCAUGCCGCGUGGGUGAAGAAGGCCUUAGGGUUGUAAACCCCUUUCAGCGGGGAAGAUAAUGACGGUACCCGCAGAAGAAGUCCCGGCUAACUCCGUGCCAGCAGCCGCCGUAACAC
rnacentral:rRNA from 1 species